CUACGGGGUGCAGCAGUAGGGAAUCUUCCACAAUGGGCGAAAGCCUGAUGGAGCAACGCCGCGUGAGUGAAGAAGGUUUUCGGAUCGUAAAACUCUGUUGUAAGGAAAGAACAAGUACAGUAGUAACUGGCUGUACCUUGACGGUACCUUAUUAGAAAGCCACGGCUAACUACGUGCCAGCAGCCGCGGUAAUACGUAGGUGGCAAGCGUUGUCCGGAAUUAUUGGGCGUAAAGCGCGCGCAGGCGGUCCUUUAAGUCUGAUGUGAAAGCCCACGGCUCAACCGGGGAGGGUCAUUGGAAACUGGGGGACUUGAGUGCAGAAGAGGAAAGUGGAAUUCCAAGUGUAGCGGUGAAAUGCGUAGAGAUUUGGAGGAACACCAGUGGCGAAGGCGACUUUCUGGUCUGUAACUGACGCUGAGGCGCGAAAGCGUGGGGAGCAAACAGGAUUAGAUACCCCGGUAGUC
rnacentral:rRNA from 1 species